rnacentral:rRNA from 1 species
CCCUUAGAUGUCCUGGGCCGCACGCGUGCUACACUUACACUUACACCGAGUUUUUCCGGCCCCGAGAGGUGGCUGGUAAUCAGUAAUAGGUGUCGUGAUGGGGAUAGAUCUUUGGAAUUAUUGAUCUUGAACGAGGAAUGCCUAGUAAUCGUAGGUCAUCAGCCUGCGAUGAUUACGUCCCUGCCCUUUGUACACACCGCCCGUCGCUCCUACCGAUUUCGAGUGGUCCGGUGAACCUUUCGGACAGAGAGAGUCUCGUACAAUCUCUGAAAGUCAAGUAAACCACAUCACUUAGAGGAAGGAGAAGUCGUAACA